ACUCAACGAGCUUUUAAUUCAGAGAGGUGAGUUUUCAUUGCAAAAGCAAGCUGCCUUGAGCAGAUCCUUGACCAGUGAUGUAGCCUCAAACUUGAUUUUUUAGGAGUUU
rfam:Flavobacteria bacterium MS024-2A ctg71, whole genome shotgun sequence.